rnacentral:rRNA from 4 species
GGGUGUAGAAUAAGUGGGAGCUUCGGCGCCGUUGAAAUACCACUACCUUUAUUGUCUUUUUACUUAUUCAAUGAGGCGGAGCUGGGAUUAAUAGUCCCACCUUUUGGCUUCAAGGUCUUUUACAGGCCGAUCCGGGUUGA